UUCCUCAUUUGAAACGCGUGUUUCUCUGUGCGCUUCUCUCCGCUCGGGGUUCCCGCUUGACGUUAACAUCCCGUCAUGCUGACCUUGCGUUCCGGGUUCGGGCGGUUCGUGAGGUUCGCAGCCUCACCCAUGGCCCCUCGGUUUGUCUGUCGAUGGGACAUGAGACGAUCUGUCAUGAAAAUCAGCUCAUCGAGCCUGGUCCACCACAAUGGACGUCUGAGCACGGGUUGUUCGCUCUUCCCUUCUGCCAGACCUCAUCUUCUCACCUCUCGGGUUUACUGCACACCACCUCAUCACCAGGUGACACUGUCCACCUUCAGUUUUCUUUCCUCUUCUCUUCAUUUCAUUUCUCCGUAUUUUCGUGAUCAAAACGGGCUUUUUCUUUUACUUAUCCUGCUGUGUUGUGGGCUCCCUCUCACUCUCCAUUCUCCUCCCUCUCCCCCUUCCAUUCUCCUCCCUCUCCCUUCCAUUCUCCUCCCUCUCUCCCUUCCAUUCUCCUCCCUCUCCCCCUUCCAUUCUCCUCCCUCUCCCUUCCAUUCUCCUCCCUCUCCCCAUUCCAUUCUCCUCCCUCUCCCCAUUCCAUUCUCCUCCCUCUCCCAUUCCAUUCUCCUCCCUCUCCCCUUCCAUUCUCCUCCCUCUCUCCUUCCAUUCCCCUCCCUCUCCCCUAUUCUCAGGUCAGGCCAGAUUAGAUCUGUGACCUGCUGCAGGUAUCAUAUAAACCUGUACUAACCUGUUUCAUGGUCGGAUUGGCAGCGACGAAACCGUCUCCCCCACCAAGUUUCCUGGUGAAGAGGAUGUUUGGAUAUGGACACCCAGCAAGAUUAAAAACAAAACCUGUCAAAAGGCAGAGGAGCUCCUCAUGAGCCCACGGCCAUCUAUUUCUGGUGCCCAACUGUCUGCGGACGUCCUCCUACAUUUGGGUUACCUUUUUUAGGAUGUUGGUGACGGGAUUUGCACUCCGGCCACAGUAAAACACUUCAUUCCGCAAAACACAUUAAAAAAAAAAACCGCAAAGUGAACCGAAAACCCACUCCAUGGGAGUACCUCCUGUGCUGCUGCCCUCUGCAGAGCAGCUCACUGGAUGAUAGGAUUGAGGAAAAUCCUUCGGGACCCCCAUUCUUUGAUGAUAGGAAAAGCAUGGGGUAACUUUCCUUGGUUAGAUUGCGCUGGUGUGUGUUGGGGUGGUGCUGAGGUGUCGUCCACCAUACGGCGAUCCCCUCAGGUUAACCUGAGGCGGUCCCUUCGAGUGGCUGCCUGGAAUGUCCUGUCCCUAUAGGAGGAUGAUCACCUGCUCUCUGCUAUCAUCUGAGCUCCAGCGUUUGAACAUCGGUAUUGCAGCACUCUUUGAGGAUUGGAGACCGAAUAGUGGUGAAAUCAUGGUGGGUGGUUACACCUACUAUUGGUCUGGUCGCUCUAAUGGUUACCAUACCCAAGGAGUUGCUGCAACUGUGUCCAAUAAGUUAACUCCCUAACACCAGUCAACGAGUGUAUUACGAGACUAAGGAUUCGUCAUUCCUUUGGUGUUGUUUCCUUGGUCUCUUUAUAUUGUUGUGGUUACCAAAUUCGCAAACCACCAUUCAGGUCCCUUAGGUGAGAUAUCUCGGUAAGUACAUGUGUAGUUAGGCCCAAACCCGUUGUCGAGUGGGAAUACAUGUCAUUUAUGCGUGCUGCGACUCUUCAGGAUAGCCGUUUUUCUUUUACUAUCUUUAAUUUGGACCAACCGCCAUUGUUACAACCACAACAUCAACCACCCACCGUGGCGCCGCUUCACGUCACACCUCGCAACCGUCGCAUCGCCACCGUUCUUGCGCCGCUUGUGGGUACCGGUGUUGGACUCGUGCAGGGCGCGCGCCGAACGGCGUGUACAAAAUCACGGAUUUUGUGCUUCAAAAACGGA
ensembl:lincRNA